rnacentral:rRNA from 1 species
CCUACGGGUGGCUGCAGUCGAGGAUCUUCGGCAAUGGGCGAAAGCCUGACCGAGCGACGCCGCGUGCGGGAUGAAGGCCUUCGGGUUGUAAACCGCUGUCAGUGGGGAGGCCUAUCCGCAGAGGAAGCAAGGGCUAAGUUCGUGCCAGCAGCCGCGGUAAGACGAACCUUGCAAACGUUAUUCGGAAUUACUGGGCUUAAAGGGUGCGUAGGCGGUGCAGAAAGUUGGGUGUGAAAUACCUCGGCUUAACCGAGGAAUUGCGCCCAAAACUGCUGUGCUUGAGGAAGAUAGAGGUGAGCGGAACUUAGGGUGGAGCGGUGAAAUGCGUUGAUAUCCUAAGGAACACCGGUGGCGAAAGCGGCUCACUGGAUCUACUGACGCUGAGGCACGAAAGCUAGGGUAGCGAACGGGAUUAGAUACCCUUGUAGUC